rnacentral:rRNA from 1 species
AGAGUUUGAUCAUGGCUCAGGAUGAACGCUAGCUACAGGCUUAACACAUGCAAGUCGAGGGGCAGCAUGGUCUUAGCUUGCUAAGGCCGAUGGCGACCGGCGCACGGGUGAGUAACACGUAUCCAACCUGCCGUCUACUCUUGGACAGCCUUCUGAAAGGAAGAUUAAUACAAGAUGGCAUCAUGAGUCCACAUGUUCACAUGAUUAAAGGUAUUCCGG